AUUGAACGCUGGCGGCAGGCUUAACACAUGCAAGUCGAGCGGAGAUGAGGUGCUUGCACCUUAUCUUAGCGGCGGACGGGUGAGUAAUGCUUAGGAAUCUGCCUAUUAGUGGGGGACAACGUUCCGAAAGGAAUGCUAAUACCGCAUACGUCCUACGGGAGAAAGCAGGGGAUCUUCGGACCUUGCGCUAAUAGAUGAGCCUAGGUCGGAUUAGCUAGUUGGUGGGGUAAAGGCCUACCAAGGCGACGAUCUGUAGCGGGUCUGAGAGGAUGGUCCGCCACACUGGGACUGAGACACGGCCCAGACUCCUACGGGAGGCAGCAGUGGGGAAUAUUGGACAAUGGGGGGAACCGUGAUCCAGCCAUGCCGCGUGUGUGAAGAAGGCCUUAUGGUUGUAAAGCACUUUAAGCGAGGAGGAGGCUACCGAGACUAAUACUCUUGGAUAGUGGACGUUACUCGCAGAAUAAGCACCGGCUAACUCUGUGCCAGCCGCCGCCGUAACAC
rnacentral:rRNA from 1 species